AAUCAAACACAAAACUCUACAAAACCCAAACCAAGAGUUGCAGCAUACUCCCAAGAAUACUUCUUUGCUACCACCCUUUCAAAUUUCAAGAACUAUCGUACUGAAACCCUAGCUGCCACAAGACCUGCACUCUAGAGCAGUGUGUUAAAU